rnacentral:rRNA from 1 species
UCCGUAGGUGAACCUGCGGAAGGAUCAUUACCGAGUUGAUUCGAGCUCCGGCUCGACUCUCCCACCCCAUGUGUACCUACCUCUGUUGCUUUGGCGGGCCGCGGUCCUCCGCACCGACCCCCGUUCGGGGGCCGGCCAGCGCCCGCCAGAGGACCACAAAACUCCAGUCAGUAAACGUCGCAGUCUGAGAAACAAGUUAAUAAACUAAAACUUUCAACAACGGAUCUCUUGGUUCUGGCAUCGAUGAAGAACGCAGCGAAAUGCGAUAAGUAAUGUGAAUUGCAGAAUUCAGUGAAUCAUCGAAUCUUUGAACGCACAUUGCGCCCCUUGGUAUUCCGAGGGGCAUGCCUGUUCGAGCGUCAUUUCAACCCUCAAGCUCUGCUUGGUAUUGGGCUCCGUCCUCCGCGGACGCGCCUCGAAGACCUCGGCGGUGGCGUCUUGCCUCAAGCGUAGUAGAAAACACCUCGCUUUGGAGCGCAUGGCGUCGCCCGCCGGACGAACCUUUGAAUUUUUCUCAAGGUUGACCUCGGAUCAGGUAGGGAUACCCG